UACGGAGGGGGGCAAGCGUUGUUCGGAAUUAUUGGGCGUAAAGAGCUCGUAGGCGGUUUGUCGCGUCUGCCGUGAAAGUCCGGGGCUCAACUCCGGAUCUGCGGUGGGUACGGGCAGACUAGAGUGAUGUAGGGGAGACUGGAAUUCCUGGUGUAGCGGUGAAAUGCGCAGAUAUCAGGAGGAACACCGGUGGCGAAGGCGGAUCUCUGGGCCAUAACUGACGCUGAGGAGCGAAAGCAUGGGGAGCGAACAGG
rnacentral:rRNA from 1 species